rnacentral:rRNA from 1 species
AUGGCCGCCGGCGACGGCGCCGACCCGAUGGAGCUCGUGCGGGGGCAGUACGACGCCGACGAGCUCGCCAUCGCCGGGGAGUUCCUCACCACCUGGCUCCCCUUCCUCUCCGCGGGCCUCUGCCCCUCCUGCGUCGGCUCGCUCCGCGGCCGCGUCGCCUCCCUCCUCCCCCCGCCGCCGCCGCCCCCGCCGCGAGGUAAUGAUGACGCCCGCCGCCCGCCGCCCGCCCGCCGCGCCUGGGGGGAAGGGAAGGAAAAGGGCCGUUUUUGCUAG